rnacentral:rRNA from 1 species
GUUGUAUAGUUAAGUGACUAAGCGUACAAGGUGGAUGCCUUGGCAAUCAGAGGCGAAGAAGGACGUGCUAAUCUGCGAAAAGCUUGGAUGAGUCGAUAAGAGGCGUUUAAUCCAAGAUAUCCGAAUGGGGAAACCCAGUAGAUGAAGAAUCUACUAUCAACAAGUGAAUUCAUAGCUUGUUGAGGCAAACCGGGAGAACUGAAACAUCUAAGUACCCCGAGGAAAAGAAAUCAACCGAGAUUUCGUCAGUAGCGGCGAGCGAAAGCGAAAGAGCCAGUAAGUGAUAG